rnacentral:lncRNA from 1 species
UCGGGAGCUAGGCCCACAAAACAAGCAACGCGAUGCGGCCCAAUCCAGUGAGUCUCGGAUGUUUUUGCAAAAGAACCCCUGCUUUGGAUCGCGAUAGGGGUUAUUUUCAAUUUACCCCUUAUUUAUUUAGGAUCGCUAGCUAUCAACAGUAGCGAUCCUGAUUUUUUGCAUUUUAGCCCCUGUUUUGAGUGGCUCAUCGCGUUUCGCUCUCGCCUCCGGCGGCGCCCGCCGCCGGCAUCGCCGUGGGAGCCCCGCCCAACCAUGCUCCUCUUCUCCGCGGGAAGAGAAAGGCUCCUAGAUCACUGCGAGAGCUGCCCCCAACCCAAUCAUCGCCGCUGGCCGCUGCAGCCGGA